UGAGAAAUGGCUACCACAUCUAAGGAAGGCAGCAGGCGCGUAAAUUACCCAAUCCUAAUUCAGGGAGGUAGUGACAAGAAAUAACAACUCGGACCCCAUUCGGGGUUACGGGAUUGCAAUGAGAACAAUUUAAACCACUUAUCGAGCAACAAUUGGAGGGCAAGUCUGGUGCCAGCAGCCGCGGUAAUUCCAGCUCCGAUAGCGUAUAUUAAAGUUGUUGCAGUUAAAAAGCUCGUAGUUGAAUUUCUGGUGAGCGUUGUUCUCGGCUCUCUGAGUCGGUUCAAUGUUUCAUCAUCCGUAUGGGAAGCUAGCUCGGCCUUCACUGGUCGGUUAGUGGAUCAUACACUUUACUUUGAAAAAAUUAGAGUGUUUCAGGCAGGCAAUUGCUUGGAUACUUCAGCAUGGAAUAAUGGAAUAGGACUUUGACCUAUUUGUUGGUCUCUUGAGGUCAAGGUAAUGAUUAAUAGGGACAGUUGGGGGCAUUCAUAUUUAAUUGUCAGAGGUGAAAUUCUUGGAUUUAUUAAAGAUGAACUUAUGCGAAAGCAUUUGCCAAGGAUGUUUUCA
rnacentral:rRNA from 1 species